AUCGCUUCUCGGCCUUUUGGCUAAGAUCAAAGUGUAGUAUCUGUUCUUAUCAGCUUAAUAUCUGAUACGGGUUCAAAUGGACCCCAGAAUAUUAAACUGAUUUUUGAAAAUCGGUGGGAACGCUGUGCUUGCAUAGCCCCCGCCACGAGUUGACCUGGUAUUGCAGUACUUCCAGGAUCGGCUUCCCCUUU